rnacentral:rRNA from 1 species
UACGGGGGGGGCAAGCGUUGUUCGGAAUUACUGGGCGUAAAGGGCUCGUAGGCGGCCAACUAAGUCAGACGUGAAAUCCCUCGGCUUAACCGAGGAAGUGCGCCCGAAACUGCAGAGCUUGAGUACCGGAGAGGAUGGCGGAAUUCCCCAAGUAGAGGUGAAAUUCGUAGAUAUGGGGAGGAACACCGGUGGCGAAGGCGGGCAUCUGGACGGAUACUGACGCUGAGACGCGAAAGCGUGGGGAGCAAACAGG